AGACACAUCAAGAGCAGCAGCUGUCUGUCUGUCAGUCCCUCCCUGUCCCACCUGAACAAGCCCAAGUACCCGCCGAGGAAGGAGAGUUUUAACAUUCAGGCUGUUUGGGAACAAAUCAAAGACCAUCAGGGCAGAGGAGAUCGUGAGCAAGGUGAAGGAGCUGGGGAGGGCUCCAGAUGAUGAAU